rnacentral:rRNA from 1 species
UAGGGAAUCUUCGGCAAUGGACGAAAGUCUGACCGAGCAACGCCGCGUGAGUGAAGAAGGUUUUCGGAUCGUAAAACUCUGUUGUUAGAGAAGAACAAGGACGUUAGUAACUGAACGUCCCCUGACGGUAUCUAACCAGCAAGCCACGGCUAACUACGUGCCAGCAGCCGCGGUAAUACGUAGGUGGCAAGCGUUGUCCGGAUUUGUUGGGCGUAAAGCGAGCGCAGGCGGUUUCUUAAGUCUGAUGUGAAAGCCACAGGCUGAACCGGGGAGGGUCAUUGGAAACUGGGAGACUUGAGUGCAGAAGAGGAGGGUGGAAUUCCAUGUGUAGCGGGGAAAUGCGUAGAUAUAUGGAGGAACACCAGUGGCGAAGGCGGCUCUCUGGUCUGUAACUGACGCUGAGGCUCGAAAGCGUGGGGAGCAAACAGG